AGAAAGUUUGGACAAAGCUUUGAGCAACCUGAUCUAGUGAAAGGUAUGCUUACACAACCCAAACUAUUCCAUGAUUCUGUGACACUAUUCUGUGAAGUUUCCACAUACCUUAAAUUAUCAGGUUAGUUAGUAAUCUGAAUCUCAUCAAAAUGUGAAGAUUGAUGUGAUGACUGUAGCUGACUUGCCAUCAGGUAGCAUAAACACCAGGAGAGCAGAAAGGAUAAUGAACAAUGAAAUUCUUGAACAGGAGCAGACAGUGUUUAUUGUACGUGUUUGCUUAUUUUUGUAAAAGAAAGCACAUACAGUCCACCUGGGUUAAACAUGAGAGCCAAAAUAAAAACAAAAACAAACAAA